CAUGGGUACGGAUUUGCGCCUCAGUCAACACCAAUACUUUACAAUUCAGAGGUGUCGACCAACUAAAGUCAAUGUAUGACAACCUCAAAACGAAAACGAGGAAACAAGUGGCGAAAGAGAAAAAAUAUGAGAAGGGCACUGGUGGUGGAUUCUUCAUACCGAAGAUGGACAAAAAUGGUUGUAGGUCUCACAAACCCAAACGACGAUGACAAUGCAAAUGAAACAAUUUUGGAGAAGAAGUCAUGGCAGAAACCAUGAAGGACGAACUGGAAUUGAAAAAAAAGAUGUCAGGGAGCAGGAGAUACACCAGUUGGAGAAGGAGAAAAAGAAUAUUGAAAUUGAAUUGUUAAAACUCGAGCUGUUACGAAGACAAAUUCAGUAAAUGUUUCAAAAAUGA